rnacentral:rRNA from 1 species
GUUAAAACUCAAAUGAAUUGACGGGGGCCCGCACAAGCGGUGGAGCAUGUGGUUUAAUUCGAUGCAACGCGAAGAACCUUACCUGGUCUUGACAUCCACAGAACUUUCCAGAGAUGGACUGGUGCCUUCGGGAACUGUGAGACAGGUGCUGCAUGGCUGUCGUCAGCUCGUGUUGUGAAAUGUUGGGUUAAGUCCCGCAACGAGCGCAACCCUUAUCCUUUGUUGCCAGCGGUUAGGUCGGGAACUCAAAGGAGACUGCCAGUGAUAAACUGGAGGAAGGUGGGGAUGACGUCAAGUCAUCAUGGCCCUUACGACCAGGGCUACACACGUGCUACAA